GACGAACGCUGGCGGCGUGCUUAACACAUGCAAGUCGAACGGAAAGACCCUGAGAUUUUGCGCUUCUCGGUUGGGGAACGGGUGAGUAACACGUGUGUAUCCUAACCUUCUCUUUGGGAUAACUUCACGAAACGGGGGCUAAGACCAUAUAGCAUCUCCUGCACGAGGGUGGGCGUUGGAAAGUUUCGGCUGUUGGGGAUGGACUGGCGGGUUAUCAGCUUGUUGGUGGGGUAGUCGCUGACCAAGGCUUUGAAUGGUAGGCGGCAUGUGAGGGUGGACGGGGACAUGGGGACUACGAGACGCACCAGACGCCUAUGGGAGGCAGCAGUGGGGAACCUUGCCCAACGAGCGGAAGUGGGAUGCAAAAACGCUGCGGGCGUGAUGACGUUUUUUUGGGUGUGAACCGCUUUCGCUUGAGACGAAGCGUGAGUGACGGUAACGGGUAAAGAAGCACCGGCUAACUACGUG
rnacentral:rRNA from 1 species